UCUGAUGGCGAGUGGCGAACGGGUGAGUAAUAUAUCGGAACGUACCUAGUAAUGGGGAACAACCAAUCGAAAGAUUAGCUAAUACCGCAUACGACCUACGGGUGAAAGCAGGGGAUCUUCGGACCUUGCGUUAUUAGAGCGGCCGAUAUCUGAUUAGGUAGUUGGUAGGGUAAAGGCCUACCAAGCCGACGAUCAGUAGCUGGUCUGAGAGGAAGACCAGCCACAUUGGGACUGAGACACGGACCAGACUCC
rnacentral:rRNA from 1 species